rnacentral:rRNA from 1 species
AGUGGGGAAUUUUGGACAAUGGGGGAAACCCUGAUCCAGCCAUGCCGCGUGUGUGAAGAAGGCCUUCGGGUUGUAAAGCACUUUCGGACGGAACGAAAUCGCAAGGGUGAAUAUCCCUUGUGGAUGACGGUACCGUAAGAAGAAGCACCGGCUAACUACGUGCCAGCAGCCGCGGUAAUACGUAGGGUGCGAGCGUUAAUCGGAAUUACUGGGCGUAAAGCGUGCGCAGGCGGCUUCGCAAGUCAGACGUGAAAUCCCCGGGCUUAACCUGGGAAUGGCGUUUGAAACUACGGAGCUAGAGUGUGGCAGAGGGAGGUAGAAUUCCACGUGUAGCAGUGAAAUGCGUAGAUAUGUGGAGGAAUACCGAUGGCGAAGGCAGCCUCCUGGGCCAACACUGACGCUCAUGCACGAAAGCGUGGGGAGCAAA